rnacentral:rRNA from 1 species
UACGGAGGGGGCUAGCGUUGUUCGGAAUUACUGGGCGUAAAGCGCACGUAGGCGGACUGUUAAGUCGGGGGUGAAAUCCUGGGGCUCAACCUCAGAAUUGCCUCCGAUACUGGCAGUCUCGAGUGCGGGAGAGGUGAGUGGAAUUCCCAGUGUAGAGGUGAAAUUCGUAGAUAUUGGGAAGAACACCAGUGGCGAAGGCGGCUCACUGGCCCGUAACUGACGCUGAGACGCGAAAGCGUGGGGAGCGAACAGG